rnacentral:rRNA from 1 species
CAGGUUUAACACAUUCAAAUUGAGGGGGCCGCCAUGUCCAGCAAAUGAAUGAUGGGCGACCGGCGGAAGGGGUGCGUAAACGGGGUGAGCCAACAUGCCCUAUUACAGGGAGAUACCACCAGGGAAACUUGGUCUAAUUUCCCCAUAGCAUUCCAUUGAAGGCAUCUUUUAUGAAUUAAAGCUUCGGGUGGUAUAGGAUUGGCUCGCGUGACAUUAGCCAGAUGGUGAGGUAACGGCUCACCAUAGCAAUGAUGUCUAGGGGUUCUGAGAGGAAGGUCCCCCACACUGGAACUGAGACACGGUCCAGACUCCUACGGGAGGCAGCAGUGAGGAAUAUUGGUCAAUGGACGCAAGUCUGAACCAGCCAUGUCGCGUGCAGGAUGACUGCCCUAUGGGUUGUAAACUGCUUUUAUAUUGGAAGAAUUGCGCUUACGAGUUAAGCGUUUGACGGUACAUUAUGAAUAAGGAUCGGCUAACUCCGUGCCAGCAGCCGCGGUAAUACGGAGGAUCCGAGCGUUAUCCGGAUUUAUUGGGUUUAAAGGGUGCGUAGGCGGAAAUGUAAGUCAGUGGUGAAAUCCUGCAGCUUAACUGUAGAAUAGCCGUUGAAACUGUGUUUCUUGAGUACAUUUGAGGUAGGCGGAAUGUGGUGUGUAGCGGUGAAAUGCAUAGAUAUACCACAGAACACCGAUUGCGAAGGCAGCUUACUAAACUGUCACUGACGCUGAUGCACGAAAGCGUGGGUAUCAAACAGGAUUAGAUACCCUGGUAGUCCACGCUGUAAACGAUGAUUACUGGUUGUUUGCGAUACACUGCAAGUGGCUGAGCGAAAGC